UACAGAGGGGGCAAGCGUUAUUCGGAAUUAUUGGGCGUAAAGGGCGCGUAGGCGGCUUGGCAAGUGGAUGGUGAAAUCCCUCGGCUUAACCGAGGAACUGCCGUCCAAACUGCUUGGCUUGAGACCAGGAGAGGUGAGUGGAAUUCCCAGUGUAGCGGUGAAAUGCGUAGAUAUUGGGAGGAACACCAGUGGCGAAGGCGGCUCACUGGACUGGUACUGACGCUGAGGCGCGAAAGCGUGGGGAGCAAACGGG
rnacentral:rRNA from 1 species